AUGAUACUGGAUUUGAAUAUUAAAGUGACUGCAUUUACCAGCUGCUUUCUGUCUUUAAUUUUAAUCUAUAAAAACAGAAAAUCAUUCGUCUUGGCUGUUUUUUUUUUGUAUGUAUUCAUGUAUUUAUUAUUAUUAUUAUUAUUAUUAUUAUUAUUAUUAUUUUGCUCUAACAAAAAUUUAUCUAUAUUUAACUAAAUCGAUGACGUUAUUUUACAUUUGAUUUCUGCAUCCAAACACUUAUAAACUUAAAACAUGCACUAUUAAACUAUUGUUAGCAAUUUCUUUAUCGUCCAAUUUAACUGGUGUACACACUUUUAUUUUCAUAAUAAAUUAGUUUUUUAGAUUAUAGACAGUUACAGUGGUCUAUAAUAAAUAUUAACAGGUUUUGUUCAAGCUGCUUAAAAUGUUUGAAGUAGGCUAAUUUUUUUAAAUGUAAAUCCUAAAAAAAAUAAAAUAAAUAAAAAUAAAUAAAACAAACAAAACAAAAAAAAAUGUAGCAACUCAUAGUAAUCAUUCAACACUGCUUAAAAAUGUAAAUUGAAAAUUAAACUCAUGAUUAAGCAUGAAAUAAGAUACAGAAUCAGUAAAUAAGAUUUUAAUGUGGGUAUAUUAUCAAUAAACUAAUCAUUAAAUAUUUAUAAUCAUUCAAAAAAUAUUGGCCCCUUUCAUCAUGUUGUUCAAAAACGAAGGCCACAAUGCUAAUGUUGUCCACUCGAUGGCGCCACAGGAUAGCAAAUACUUCAAGAUCUGUUCAAAGACUUGAAAAUGUUUCAUUUAUGUGCAUUAAUAAAAAAUGCAUAAACAUUCAUUCUUUUUUCAUAAACUUUAAUAAAGCCCAUUAUUGUAAUUAUGCAAAAGCUAUCAGCUCCUAAAUACCAUUACUUUUUGUUAGUUUAAUUGUAUUGACAACAUAUUUCUCAAGUUAUCACACAUUACUGAAAAAGUGUAGAAGGGACACUAUAUUAGUUAUCUAUUUUCAUGUUGUGCAUAUAAUAAUACUCACAUAAAGACUCAUGAUUUACUUGAAAAGAGACACGUUCAUUGUGUAACUGCAUCAUCUACACAAACCAAUGUGCUUGGACCCCUAAUAAUCACCUUGACUUAAACCACAUUGUUUCAGUUGCCUUCUGUGUCUUUGCCCACAACGCUUCAGUGACUGGAAUGUGAAAUAGC
ensembl:lncRNA